AUUGAACGCUGGCGGCAGGCCUAACACAUGCAAGUCGAGCGGACGAAGGGAGCUUGCUCCUGGCUUCAGCGGCGGACGGGUGAGUAAUUACUAGGAAUCUGCCUGGUAGUGGGGGAUAACGUCCGGUAACGGGCGCUAAUCCCGCAUACGUCCUGAUGGUGAACGUGGGGGAUCUUUGGUCCUAACGCUAUCAGCUGACCCUUGGUCGUAUUAGCUAGUUGGUGGGGUAAAGGCCUACCAAGGCGACGAUCCGUAACAGGUCUGAGAGGCUGAUCAGCCACACUGGAACUGAGACACGGUCCAGACUCCUACGGGAGGCAGCAGUGGGGAAUAUUGGACAAUGGGCGAAAGCCUGAUCCAGCCAUGCCGCGUGUGUGAAGAAGGUCUUCGGAUUGUAAAGCACUUUUAGUUGGGAGGAAGGGCAGUAAGUUAAUACCUGGCUGUUUUGACGGUACCAACAGAAUAAGCACCGGCUAACUUCGUG
rnacentral:rRNA from 1 species